rnacentral:rRNA from 1 species
AAUGAACGCUGGCGGCGCGCCUAAUACAUGCAAGUCGAGCGAGAAGACGUAGCAAUACGUUUGUAAAGCGGCGAACGGGUGAGGAAUACAUGGGUAACCUACCCUCGAGUGGGGAAUAACUAGCCGAAAGGUUAGCUAAUACCGCGUACGCUUCUUGGACUUCGGUUCAGGGAGGAAAGCGAUACCGUGGGUAUCGCGCUCUUGGAUGGGCUCAUGUCCUAUCAGCUUGUUGGUGAGGUAACGGCUCACCAAGGCUUCGACGGGUAGCUGGUCUGAGAGGACGAUCAGCCACACUGGCACUGCGACACGGGCCAGACUCCUACGGGAGGCAGCAGUAAGGAAUAUUGCGCAAUGGGCGAAAGCCUGACGCAGCGACGCCGCGUGGGGGAUGAAGGUCUUCGGAUUGUAAACCCCUUUC